rnacentral:lncRNA from 1 species
CCCAGGCACAACCAAUUUUCCCUAUAAACAAGAGUCCAGGAUAUGAAGUCUUGCCUGGGCUCUUCAUAUGAGUAAACAGUAGAGCUAUGACUUAGUCCCAGGUUUCCCUGCUUCAGAAACUCUUGGCCUUUUACUGGAUGUUAGCUGUCUGUCUUGGCCUAAGCAACUUGGGGCUAUGAGCCUGCUUGUGGGCUCAGGGAGAGUGACAGACAUCACUGGAGUGGCGGCAUGAGGCUAUUUCUUUUGUAUUCUCUGCCUGAGCAAAAGGGGUUGCUAAGUACAAGGCUUUAAGGCAAGGUUGGGUUUGGACCAGGUUAAUCUGCCUCAAUUCUAGGUGUCAGGAAGCCAUGAAGCCAUAUGAAGGAAAACUGGCAUCUACUGAAACAUUAAAAUUAACCAUAAAUAUUACCCCUUAUAUUUGGUGUGGCAAACUGCACAAUUCUUGCCAGAAUAAAUGCCAUCAGCUGCCUCAGGGCACUCCUCGGUUUGACCAUUCUGUACGUGGUUGGGUGUGAGAGACAGGCUAAGUGAGUAAGCCAUUGCCCACGGCUCCACAUGGACUCCCUCUAGUGACAGACAAUUGUAGGAAGCACAACAUCUUUCAAUAAAAGACUCUUGUUUAAAACCUUUGAAAAGAGUACUGCACCUUCUCUCUGGGAUUCGGGAAAAGGGAAGAAAAAUGGGAAACCCGGG